UAAAUAAUCUAAUUGAGCCUAUAAAAAGAAUGCUUAGUGAGAGUUGAAAUUAUUUGUUUUAGAUGAUCAAAACAUCUAGUUUUGAUGCUCUAGGUUUUAGAUUCUCUCUAUAGCAUAAGUCAUUUUUUAAGCUUCAAUAUUCUCUUCGCUUCUUCUUCUUCUCUUUGUAUCUAUCUCAUGUGUUGAGAAUGUCCCACUCUAGUCUAGGUGAUUCUAAUGAUACUUUGGAAGGUUAUGAAAAAAUUUGAAGAUCGGUUCAGUUUUUUGGUGAUACACUGCGACAGAAAGGAUUCAAGGAUUAUGAAAACUGAAAGGAGGACUAAUACAUUCAGUUGCAUAUAAUAGAAGCUCACUGGAGAAAACUUCCUUAAGUGGAAGUAGAAUAUCAACAUAGUAUUGAUUGGUGACAACACCAAGUUCGUCAUGAUUGAAGAAUCCCCAAAAGUUCUAGCUGAAGGAGCUCCUAAGUCUGUAAGAGAUAAAUAUGAGCGUUGGCAGAUGACUAAUAACAAGGCACGACACUACAUAUUGACUAGUGUGGUCGACACUCUCAAGACAAAGAUGGAGACUAUCGAGAUGACAUACGAAAUCAUGGAUCAACUCCAAGACAUGUUCGAGAAAAAGUCUGUGCAGACUCAUUUUGAGUUCACCAAGAAAUAUGCAGACUCGUGCAGAAGAUGGUUGGGACACUCUGAUUUGGAGCUAUACUUCCUCUAGUGAAUACACAGUUAAAUCUGGCUAUCACUUAGCGGCUUCUAGACGGACAGAUAGAGCUUCAAAGAAUGUUACUAAUAGGAGACCCCUUCUCUUAACAAGUUUAAGUUGAAUGUGGAUGCAACUGUUUCUCAUGGAAACUGAAAGAUGGGCAUUGGAGCUGUUGUGAGAGACUCAAAUAGAAAAGUUGUUGCAGAAUGCGCCAUUUGAUUACCAGGACACUAUCAUUCAAUGAUCAUUGAGGCAAUGGCUUUAAUUGCAACUCUAAAAUGGUGCUCAACAGUACAUCUCCCUAUUUCUACUGCUGAAACAGAUUGUAAAUCUAUAGUCGAUAAAUUGCAUACAUUUUCUUUUGAUGGUUUAGUCUUAGAUGUACUUAAGGAUAUUCAUAACUCAUUGUCAUCUUUCCCUAAUUUAGCCUUGUCAUAUGUUUCUAGGAAUGCUAAUGUAUUAGCUCACAAUAUAGCUCAAAAAGCUACAAGACUUGACAAUAAGUUAGUAUGGAACGGUUGUUUGCCUUCCAUAUUGUAAACUUUGUACUUCUGGUUGACGUUUAUCUUAUACCAAAAAAAAUUAAG